GGGCAGCCCUGCGGGCACGGCAUGCGGUAGCCGCGCUCCACCUGCUCCAGAACUUCGCGGUUCACCAUGCCUGCAAGAAAACGAGCCAGGCAGUCACUCGAGUGGUUGCGCCUGUCUGGACUAUGUAAGGCAGACACUGAUCAUUGAACUGUCACAGCUCAUCGGUGCGGCACUAAUAUGAGUCGUUCUUCGCAGAGGACAAAGAAGAUGUGACUCACUCCUCUUAUUAGCCCCCAUCCAAACAAAUGGAGGGGCGCUGUACCGAAACGGGCCGGCCGGACGGAAGGAUGGACGAACUCCAGCGGGACUUGAUGACGUGGGCACCUCCCUCCCAUCCCGCCCUUCCACCUUCGCGACCAGUGAAGGCGGCAUAAAAAAGCAGGCAGAAGCAAGAGCAGAGAGAGGGACACGCACACUCCCAAAAAGUUGCCUGGAACGCAAAUGUUGGGAGGAGGACACGGCGACGCUACGGAGGACACGAGACACCCACAACCAGAAGAAGAAGAAGAGGAGGAGGAGGAGGAAAGAGGAAGAGGCGCUUGCAUCCCACUCCCGCGUGCACAGGGGCUCUUCCACCGCAAAAUGUCCAGCAAAGCCACGCUUGCCUUGCUCAUCUACGGCAUCUUCAUGCGGCACAGUGCCGGCAGCGGAUCGCACCUGGGGCUCGCCUUUCCGCACGUCACGCUUGAGGGUGAAUUGUACGACGAAGACGGGAACUCGCUGCCGCCAUUGGAUUACGAUGGCCAGGAGGUGCGAAGUCCAUCCAUGGGGACACAAGACCAAGACGUCUACUCCCUGUUCUACCCGCCGCCCGACAAGAGAACGGAACGGCACGCAGACGGCAUGUUCAACAAAGCGUACAGGAAAGCAUUGGGUCAGUUGUCGGCCAGGAAAUAUCUCCAUUCGCUCAUGGCCAAGCGGAUCGGCGGCGGCAAGGUGAUGGAGGACAACGGCGAGCCGCUGUCCAAGCGCCACUCGGACGGCAUCUUCACGGACAGCUACAGCCGCUACCGCAAGCAGAUGGCGGUCAAGAAGUACCUGGCCGCCGUGCUGGGCAAAAGACUUGAAGACGUAGAUUUGAGCGGUGUCGACUUUGACGCCCUCCUGGACGGGGAGGACUUUGAGGCUUUUUGGGGGGACUGGCUCAAACUGCUCCCCCCGAAAUACCUGCUUCCGCACUCUGGCCAAGCUCAGCCCAGCUCCAGCGAUAUCUAUCAACAGCAAUUUCUCCACAAAUCCCCACCCGCCGAAGCUGUUUAGCAAACCCCAUCAGGUCGGCGCGUUUUCUUUCCACCGCUCCCGACCAAAUCUAUGAGGUUCUCCCAUCCAACGGUUUGCGUGACACGACCGAGUCGGCGCACCCCCGAGCGAGCGCUGAGGCCCAUCAGCGUUUCUUUCUCCGAAAUGUGGUGAGGGAAGAGGAAGUACAGGUGGCGUCUCCUCUAAUGAUGUCCCCAGCGGAUGACUACAUUACCCAGCAACGCCUGGGCCAGUGACAGUUGGGAUUCUCGCCCGCAUGCUUCAACCGACUUCUUUUCAACCUUCUCGCGGGCUCGCCGAUGACUGACAGGUGGGAGCCUCUUCUACAUAAGCCGACAAUGAGGUGGAUGAAUAUGGAUGCAGCCGUUCCGUCCCGGCUGUCUGCUGAAGUUCGGCUCGGCUGCCUACGCAUGCUGCUGGACACGUCGCACAAUGAAUGGCGUUCCCUCGAGAGGGAGGGAAAUGACGUCAAAGCGUCUCGUCUAUGAGUGUCGCCGGCGAGGUCUUCGACAUAUUCUGCCAGCAUUUGCGUCAGAAGGUGCACAGAGGUGGGCAGGUAGGACACAAAUCCAUGUGGGAAUCUGUCCAUUUGUCACCCAACUACAGUAAAAGUCGAGAUAAAUUAUUUC